rnacentral:rRNA from 1 species
UACGGAGGGUGCAAGCGUUAUCCGGAUUCACUGGGUUUAAAGGGUGCGUAGGUGGGUCUGUAAGUCAGUGGUGAAAUCCCCGAGCUUAACUUGGGAGCUGCCGUUGAUACUAUAGAUCUUGAAUAUCGUGGAGGUAAGCGGAAUAUGUCAUGUAGCGGUGAAAUGCUUAGAUAUGACAUAGAACACCAAUUGCGAAGGCAGCUUACUACACGAUCAUUGACACUGAGGCACGAAAGCGUGGGGAGCAAACAGG